rnacentral:rRNA from 1 species
UAGGGAAUCUUCGGCAAUGGGGGGAACCCUGACCGAGCAACGCCGCGUGAGUGAAGAAGGUUUUCGGAUCGUAAAGCUCUGUUGUUAAGGAAGAACGAGUGUGAGAAUGGAAAGUUCAUACUGUGACGGUACUUAACCAGAAAGGGACGGCUAACUACGUGCCAGCAGCCGCGGUAAUACGUAGGUCCCGAGCGUUGUCCGGAUUUAUUGGGCGUAAAGCGAGCGCAGGCGGUUAGAUAAGUCUGAAGUUAAAGGCAGUGGCUCAACCAUUGUAGGCUUUGGAAACUGUUUAACUUGAGUGCAGAAAGGGAGAGUGGAAUUCCAUGUGUAACGGUGAAAUGCGUAGAUAUAUGGAGGAACACCGGUGGCGAAAGCGGCUCUCUGGUCUGUAACUGACGCUGAGGCUCGAAAGCGUGGGUAGCAAACAGG